GUGUCAGCCGCCGCGGUAAUACGUAGGAUCCGAGCGUUGUCCGGAAUUACUGGGUGUAAAGGGCGUGUAGGUGGGUUCCUAAGUCGGUGGUGAAAUCCCGCAGCUUAACUGCGGAAUUGCCUUCGAUACUGGGGAUCUUGAGUGCGGCAGAGGGAGAUGGAAUUCAUGGUGUAGCGGUGAAAUGUGUAGAUAUCAUGAAGAACACCGGUAGCGAAGGCGGUCUCCUGGUCCGUAACUGACACUGAUGCGCGAAAGCGUGGGGAGCAAACAGGAUUAGAAACCCCGGUAGUCC
rnacentral:rRNA from 1 species